GUUGAGGGCUAUCCUGCUGGGACUUCUUCUGUAGACCUAUACUGUUGGAAACACCUCACAGAGUAUGUAUGUGGUUUCCUUUGCUCAGAGAACCCUGUGUUAGAUCUGUGGGAAAAACUACAAGACAGGU